rnacentral:rRNA from 1 species
AGCGAACGCUGGCGGCAGGCUUAACACAUGCAAGUCGAGCGGGCACUUUCGGGUGUCAGCGGCGGACGGGUGAGUAACGCGUGGGAACGUGCCCUCUGGUUCGGAAUAACUCAGGGAAACUUGAGCUAAUACCGGAUACGCCCUUUUGGGGAAAGGCUUGCUGCCGGAGGAUCGGCCCGCGUCUGAUUAGCUAGUUGGUGAGGUAACGGCUCACCAAGGCGACGAUCAGUAGCUGGUCUGAGAGGAUGAUCAGCCACACUGGGACUGAGACACGGCCCAGACUCCUACGGGAGGCAGAAGUGGGGAAUAUUGGACAAUGGGCGCAAGCCUGAUCCAGCCAUGCCGCGUGAGUGAUCAAGGCCUUAGGGUUGUAAAGCUCUUUUAUCCGGGACGAUAAUGACGGUACCGGAGGAAUAAGCCCCGGCUAACUUCGUG